GAUGAAGAACGCAGCGAAAUGCGAUAAGUAAUGUGAAUUGCAGAAUUCAGUGAAUCAUCGAAUCUUUGAACGCAUCUUGCGCUCCUUGGUAUUCUGAGGAGCAUGCCUGUUUGAGUGUCAUUAAAUUCUCAACUACACCGACUUUGAAUUGGUGUGGCUUGGAUUUGGGGGGAAAAUUGUUGUGGGCUUUUUGUAUAGUCUGCUCCCCUGAAAUUGAUUAGCGGUACCUUUGUGGAACUGUCUACAGGUGUGAUAAUUAUCUACAUCUUAGACAUCUGCUGGAAUGCUGCUUUCUAAACCUUACUUGUAUUGACAAUCUUGACCUCAAAUCAGGUAGGACUACCCGCUGAACUUAAGCAUAUCAAUAAGCGGAGGA
rnacentral:misc_RNA from 1 species